ensembl:snoRNA
CAGCACGCUCAUCCUAAGAACCCGAGCUCCGCAGUAGCUCGCGGUCCUCCAAGCGCGUGCCAGAGCACGGGGCGGUCUUUGACUGCUGCGGCCCGUCCGCCGCCGCCAGCGGCCACUCAGCCGCCCUACAGAC